AUUGAACGCUGGCGGCAGGCCUAACACAUGCAAGUCGAGCGAGAAAGCCCGUUCGGGUGAGUACAGCGGCGGACGGGUGAGUAACGCGUAGGAAUCUACCCAGUAGUGGGGGACAACUUGGGGAAACUCAAGCUAAUACCGCAUACGCCCUACGGGGGAAAGCGGGGGACCUUCGGGCCUCGCGCUAUUGGAUGAGCCUGCGUCGGAUUAGCUAGUUGGUGGGGUAAAAGCCUACCAAGGCGACGAUCCGUAGCUGGUCUGAGAGGAUGAUCAGCCACACUGGAACUGAGACACGGUCCAGACUCCUACGGGAGGCAGCAGUGGGGAAUAUUGCGCAAUGGGGGCAACCCUGACGCAGCCAUGCCGCGUGUGUGAAGAAGGCCCUAGGGUUGUAAAGCACUUUCAAUUGGGAAGAAAAGCUCAUCGUUAAUAGCGUUGAGCCCUGACAUUACCUUUAGAAGAAGCACCGGCUAACUCCGUG
rnacentral:rRNA from 1 species